GACAGAGGGUGCAAACGUUGUUCGGAAUUACUGGGCGUAAAGCGUGUGUAGGCGGCCACGCAAGUCGGAUGUGAAAGCCCCGGGCUCAACUCGGGAAGUGCACUCGAUACUGCGUGGCUUGAGUACUGGAGAGGUUGGUGGAAUUCUCGGUGUAGAGGUGAAAUUCGUAGAUAUCGAGAGGAACACCGGUGGCGAAGGCGGCCAACUGGACAGAUACUGACGCUGAGACACGAAAGCGUGGGGAGCAAACAGG
rnacentral:rRNA from 1 species